rnacentral:rRNA from 1 species
CCUACGGGUGGCAGCAGUGAGGAAUAUUGGUCAAUGGACGCGAGUCUGAACCAGCCAAGUAGCGUGAAGGAUGACUGCCCUACGGGUUGUAAACUUCUUUUAUAUGGGAAUAAAAUGAGGCACGUAUACCUUUUUGUAUGUACUAUAUGAAUAAGGAUCGGCUAACUCCGUGCCAGCAGCCGCGGUAAUACGGAGGAUGCGAGCGUUAUCCGGAUUUAUUGGGUUUAAAGGGGGCGGAGGUGGGAUGGUAAGUCAGUGGUUAAAUUUUGCGGCUCAACCCUGAAAUUGCGGUUGAUACUGGAUGCCUUGAGUGCAGGAGAGGUAGGCGGAAUGCGUGGUGUAGCGGUGAAAUGCAUAGAUAUCACGAAGAACUCCGAUUGCGAAGGCAGCAUACUA